UCUCUCAUAAAGAUGGAUUUCAACCCGAAUUUCCUCGUUUGGGAUCGAUUCAGGAAUUUUAGUGUUCCUCUCUUCAACAUUUACAGAGUAUGUUGUACAAUGUAAUAAAAUAUAUUUAUUUUUAAAUGCAUGUUCAAGAUCAUUUUCAGCACUUAUUUUGAUUAUUUAAUAGUUGCAUGCAGUGGACUGUGCCUGAGACGAUUCCCAUAGCGCCGGCGAAUAGUCAGCUUGUAUAAAUGGAAUCUGAAUGCUCACAAGAAGGACAAAUGCAGUAUGGAAAUUAACACAAAGAAAUUGUGCCAGAAAAGUAAGUGUCUACGGGAACAAUCAACAUCGAACUUUCUGAGCCUUCCUACUUAAACUAAAGUGAAUUCAUU